rnacentral:rRNA from 1 species
GACGUAGGGCGCGAGCGUUGUCCGGAUUUAUUGGGCGUAAAGAGCUCGUAGGCGGCUUGUCGCGUCGACUGUGAAAACCCGUGGCUCAACCAUGUGGUCUGCAGUCGAUACGGGCAGGCUAGAAUUCGGUAGGGGAGACUGGAAUUCCUGGUGUAGCGGUGAAAUGCGCAGAUAUCAGGAGGAACACCAACGGCGAAGGCAGCUCGGUGGGACGGUACUGACACUGAGGCGCGAAAGCGUGGGGAGCGAACAGG